AUCAAACAAUUCAAUGUUUUGCCAACACAAGCAAAGAAAUAUGUGUGCAUUUGUUUAUACGUGUGCGUAUAUGGGCAGAGAAUAGCUGUGUUCGGGAACUCAAAAAUUGGUGCAAAUUUGCACAAAUUUUUACUGGAAGUCGUUCGCGAACAUUAUUUGCCAGCAGAAGAAAGCGCAAGAGAGGACAAAUUUUGACAGUUCGAAAAUAGAGAACCUGCAAAUUUCUACUGGGACUUUUUUGCCAGCAGAAAUUUUCAACUUUGAACAGAUGUUUUUUAAAGGUCAGCUGUUUUAUGAAAAGCAGCCGUUACAUGAAAAUACAAAAGCUAACACAAAAAUGGAUCUAAAAGGCAGAGAUUCAAGGCAGCUAGUGUUCCUGAGUGGAAUGUUCCUGGGCAAAAUUAGCAUAGCAUUUAUUUAGUAUUCAGGUAAAGAAAACUCGCCAAAGAAGUUGUAAUUUUACCUCAAGUCCGUUGUUCUCCAUUAGAAGAGACCAAAGAAAUAGCAAUGAUAAGUAUUUUGAUGCAACCAUAAUCAUCAAAGAGCUAUAAUGAAACGAACCCCGCUCCUUUGAAUUUGUUAAGGGGGGAAGAUGCUGCCAUGGUAUUAAGUGGGUCUGACUGGACAGUUUAAAGUUACGCACAGUGGGAUUGGAAAAAUGAGUGCAAAUUAGUCAGCCAAUUGUGAACGGAUACAGAUAUUUUCAAUGAAAAUUUGCAAUUUGUCUAGCCACCAUAUCCAAUAUUGGUUAGUCCAAGGUUCGAUUGUCAGCACACCAAGUACUGCCGACAAGGGACUUGAGAACGAUGUUUCUACUUUUGUGUACGGUGAUGGCAUAUAAAGCAGUUAUAGUCCUAUGCAGCCUUCGAAAUGCAUGCUGAUGCUCGGCGAAUGAAAAUUGUCCAACGGGAGGAUCGGAAGGAGAAGUCUCUCAUGCGUCUUGGCUACUGAUGAAAGAAGACAGAUAGGUCUGUAGGUUUCGAGGUUUCAGUAGCGGGAUCACACGAUGUUUGGAGGAUGGGCAUCUUCCAAACAUCGGGUACUAUAAUAGUG